UCUAGUGCAUCAAAACCAACUGUAAAAUAAAACUUAUAGACUCACUGCACAGACAACGCUUCUUUUUCUGGAGUCACUUCCUUCAGUAUUAGGAGUGUUUCAUAUAAGUUUAAUAAUGCUGCCAAUAAAAUAGAUAGCAGAAUAUUUGUCUUGCAGGACAUCUUGCAGCUUGGAAAGUCUCUGAAAUGUUCUUAUAUUUGAAUUUCCAUUUAUGUCAGCGUCACUUCUAUCAUUAGAGUAAGGAGGUAGAGAUGACAAUUUGAAAAAAAAAAUCUUUCUUAAAUAAAGUACUUCUACAUGACAAAGUGAUGAGCAUUCGCAGAGUUCAGCCAAAGCUCAAAAACAUUAAUGUCCAUUAAGUAAGUGGUGCUAAAAUUAGAACUUGUUACACUUUUCCAAUUCUUGGGAGAUUUUUCAUGAAAUUAAGUCUCACAUAUGUAUGGAAUAUACCUGUGAAUUCAUUUCAAGGUUAAAAUCUUUCUAUAACUGCUCAAAUAAAGAAAAUAAUUUAACCAUUGUUUAAACCCUGGUUUAAGCAUUUAACCAUGGUUUCACAAAACAGCAACAAAGAGGCUACAGCAAGAGAAUACACAUUCCUUAAUAUCAUUAUUAAUGAAAGGUCAAAUGUAGUUCAUGUCAGAUUUCCUGCCUGAGUGGAACUGAAGAAAGUGGGAUAUGUUUAUUCAUGAUUCUGGGUCCAGUAUAAUGUGUUUGUUUAAAAGAUAUACUCCAUCUUUAUGUAAAAAAACCCAAGUGUUUCUUUAAAAAAAAAAAAAGACAUUAUAUGAUAUUUCAUUAUAUAGAGGAGCCUAGUCCAGAAAACAUUAGUGGUAUUAAAUUCAUCACUGCCUCCCUGUUAUCUUUAAGCAGGAGGAUUAAAGCAGAAGAAAUAUAUUUUUUUCUGAGCCUUAUCUGCAGGUUCACAGGGAGAGGACUAUGGCAGCCUUAAUUAUAUUCACAAUGAACUCAGAGAAAUGUGGUUCAAGAGGUGAAAUUUUCACUAAAACAAUUACCCAUAUCUCCAUAUGCUAAUUCAUACACAGAUGCUGAGCGGUAGAAUGGGAGUUUCUAAAAUAUGUAUCAACAGUAUUUGAGUGUUAAUGAGCUUUCUGAAUACUUGUCAUAAGAAGUCAUGUACUCAGAAAUUUGAUAAAGUGACAGAGAGACCCAAUCAGACAGCAAACCUCCAAACUACAUUCAAAGCAUGACAUUUCCUCUGUGAUCUAUCCGAAUUACCCAUUAACCACAGCAAGUGAAAACAAUCUGACACCAAAUGUCAUCAGCAACAUGCAUAAAGGUCAUUAGCUUGUUAGUGUUAUACUCUAUACCUGUGCAAUAUAGGAUGCUAUUAUUUGCAUUACAUGCCACAAGAAGGGUGUUGUUGUUUUGUUGGCUUUUUUUUUUUUUUUAAAUGCCUUAUAGUGAAAUGGUACAUAACAAUAAAAUAUUUAAGGAGAUAUUAUGUGAAAGAGUAAAUACCCACUUUGGCUCUAUAGGACCAGUCACAUUAGAAUGGACUUGUAUUGCUAAUCUUAGGGAAACUGGCCACGCCCAAUGCAAUCUCCUAGGAUUAUGGAUUAACCCAUAGUUGACAGCACCUAGCCAUGUUCAAAUGGACUCAUACAACCACUCCCUCAAGGAGUUUGGCUGUGCACAAUGAGAACUCUCAGGACUAGCUUAUAGAAGCGAUCUUUAUUGGAGAAAUAAAUACAUUACAAAUUCUUUUGAAUAGCUGUUGAUAAAUACACAGUCUACAGAGCACAUAUGAGUAUCAAUAAUAUGAAGAAUAUGAGACUAACUGCAAAUGCAUUAAACUAUAGAAUAAUUCUGUUGAUUUCUAAGUUUCUGGGAGAAAUGCUCAGUAUAACUGAGUGUGUGAAUCUUACAUAAUAGGUUUCCCUAUGAGGGGAUAAGAGAGGCUCAGCUCGUUGACUGGUCCUGAAAGUCAGUAGUGUUCUCCUGAUUUGUCUGUGAUGGAAUCUUCUCUCAGAUUCCUUAACUCUUUAAGCCAUUUUUAUAUUAUUUUAUUACUACAAGGUGGAGCUUGAGUGACUGUAAUCAUAUCUAUCUUUGCUGCAAUUUGUAUGACAGAAAAUUGAAAAGCUGAUGACUCAGGGUGACUUCCCUGCAGUUUAACAGUUCCACAGUAUCACCAAGUUUCCAUCACUGCAAUCUACCUUAUCACAGAUUUUGGCCAUGGAGUUUUAUAUCUCACACUACCCUCUGAGCUGUAUCUACAGUCAGCAGAUCAAACUGCCCUGGUGCAGCUAACAGUCUAAGGUUUGCAAGACUGAUGUUGCUUGGGGGUCAAGGAAUCGACUUCUUGCAUAUUCACCGGAUUCCACUGAAGGUUUCUCCAGUGCUUUUCUUCUUUUAAGAGGUGAAUAUUGCAAUAAGUCACUUCUAAUAAUGACUCUACCAUAAUCCACCCCAUGACUACAGUCACUCAAGUUUCACAAUAUUUAGAAGGAACUGGGAAGAUUACAUGCAGCCUUGUUAUGAGAAUUAGAGCUCAAGGGGCUCUCGGACUGCUUACUAUUUAUGAGAUGUAAGUGAUUGAGUCAUAAUGUUAGUAUUCAGCAGAACAGUGUAAUCAGUUCUAAGCAAGGCCUUGGUCAUAAAGGCCAGGCUUAAGGAGAAGCAAGGGGGAGAAGACCAUCACAAGAGAGUAGCAUAUUUGGACAUUCAUUAAUCUGAAUAAUUUCCUUUGAGAAACUUCCUGUUUACUUGGCUGUCCUAUUUCUGGGUUGGCAACAAGGAAGCAAGGAGGGAAGGAAAGAAGUAGGUAUUAGGACAAUCUAAAAAGAUAUACUACUUGACAAGAUGAAGAAAAGUAAUUGUGUCCUUUUUGUAAAGGAAAACGAAGGUACAAAGAAGUUUCGUUUUCUUUGUAGAAUGAAGUUCAUCUAACAACUGCAUCAUACCAAACUGAAACAACAGGAAGCAACACCAUGAAGGAGAUAUGUUGAAGAAGAACAAUCAAUGAGCAAAGACAUCUUAAGUCCGCUUGAAAUACUGCUGGGCAGUGGAGCACCAAUUGCAGAGACAGAAGGGUAACUUGAGGACUGAAGAAAUAUGUACUCCUUUAGUCUAUACAUCAUAUAUUGCAAAAGGUAAUUGACAACCUCAUUCUGGUGUAAAUCAAAUUCUUGAGGACUCUAUAUGGAUAUGGAUGUUUACCAUGAGCUUAAUCACUAAGCAGUAAUUGCUUGUCUGUACUGACCAAAUAAAUCAAUUCCAUACAAUGGAAAAAUUAUGAAGAGAUCCUGGAUACUGAACUUAAAUAAACAUGAUUGAUCACCAGAAUUCUCUCAAAGCAACAUAAACAAUAUGAUUUCCAGACUGAUCUAAUGGAAGAAAAUUGCAAGCCAUAAUUCACUUUAAUUUCUGAUAGUGUAGAGUAAAUGGGAUACAUCAAAACAGAAAGCAAACUUUUCACCACAAAAGCAAACUUUUUACCAUACAAAUAAACUAUUACAUAACAUAACUGUGGUUACUAAUUGUCAGCACACAAAACAAUUUUAUCUAUUUAAAUAGUCAAGAAUAGCCCAGAAAAUCCUUCUCUAAGAUUUGUUUCCUGUUUUGUUUUGGUUUGGUUUGUUUUUUUGAUACUUCAAACAAGUGCUUAUAUCUGCAAGCAUCUUUGUGAACCACACAAAUUCAUUUCACAUUCAGUUUCCCAGAGAUAGACAUUUUCUGCCCUUUUUUUCAGGGAAGAUUCUAUAGAACUUCACUAUGCUUUAUCGAUCGCAAUGAUUUCCUUUCUUCCAACACCAUCCCAUAAUUCUAGAGGUUAAUUCUCUACCUUACGUAAAAAUACAUAUACUCUACAUAUACUCUACAUAUACGAUAUACUCUUUCUGUGUUUGAAAAACUGAGGUUUGCGGUGUAGUGAGGAAUUUAAAAGCUAAUGUUCUUCAUAUAAUUCCAUAGCUUCUAUCUUCAUAUAAUUUUGUAUUGCACAUUACUACUAUGAUACAUACACUGUUUUCAGCUACAAAGGAUUUCACAUAUUGGUAAAGUAGUCUUAAAUGGAGAUAAUAUUAAAUGCAUCUCAUUCAGUCACUGCUUGCGAGUUGAUACAAUUUAUUUACGUUACAUAAUUACACUGGAACUUGAUACCUCCUAAGAAUUUUAAAGCUGAGAAUAAGUAAUUAAAAAAAACCAAACAAGCAAAAACUGGACUAAUGGAAAAUAAGUUAAUUGACAAUUGAGAUCAUGAAGUUCUUGAAUUAUAAAUCAUAGAAAUCUGGGAAAGAAUAGUGAAAAAAAGCUACUAUUUGAACGCUACACCCACAUUCAUACUACCUUGCUGCACAGAUCUUUCUGGGAUAUUCUGGGACCUCAUGCCCCAAGGCAAUCAGAGCUGCUGUAGUUGGGUUGCAGCUACAGAGAUUCUCAUGUGCUAAGGCAUUUAACCACAAGGAAAAGUAUGAUGAAAUUAAAGAUCUUAUUUUUUGGUUAAGAGGUAGUGCUUCCUGAAAUUACCUGUUCCUUAUCCACAUUUCCCACUCAAAAACAUGACCUAUCCAGAAGCUUUUGCAGUAGAUCAAAACUCAGAUUUACUCAUGUUGCACAUACUACUGUGUUCAGGACAACUCUGAUGUAUCAGCCAUUCACACACUCAGCAAAGUUUUGAACAAGAGUGGCUUAUGUAGGUAGAAUGAUUCAAAUACACACAACUCAAAUCACAGAAUCACAGAAUGGUUAGGUUCGUUUAAUCACAAAAUUAAGCAUUUUUUUUUCUACAUAUAAGAUGUAAUAAGAGCCUGUGAUUACCUGUAACUGUUAAUUCCGUAGUUCUUCUCACAACAAAGAUGCCAUAUUUUACCUCACAAGUGUAAUUUCCAAUGUCAUCCUCUCUAACUUCCCGAAUGACAAGAGUGUCCUUUAUAAACCCAAUACUUGAUCUCCAUGUCUUUGACUUGCAUUCCUGUUUAAAGAUAACAUAACAAUUCAGUGACUAUGUUUUUACACUGUUCUUUCACUUACACUGAACACUCAAGCCACUGUUGAUAAUGCUGC